UGAAACUAAGCAAAGCCCUCCAGAUGUUGUUAAGUUUCCUGAUAGUCGUCAAGAUUAUUCGGGGUUGAAGUUGACUGUUGAAGAGGUUGAACCACAACAAGAAAGUGGUGGGAAUAAUAUGUGGCAGGUGUAUGCACUGGGAGGUUUCAUGCUCCUGAGGUGGGGAUGGGCUAAAUGGAAGGAAGCACAGGCCAACAAGAAUGAUAAACCUGACUCUGGAGCCGAAGAUGCAUCCCCAACACAUGACCCAUAGUUUUAUAGUCUUUUAGAGAGAA